GAAUGUGUGUUGCUCCUUGUGGCAGGUAUACUGUUCCAAUGCCCUGGGAUCUCUGUAGUGGUCGGUACUGUAUUGAUUAUAAAUGGUGAAGUCCUAGUAUCUUGCUAGAGUGAGCUGGCCAGGAUGGUGGAGCUCUACCACCAUUUCACAGGUUAUAGACAGGGGCCACCAGGUUUCAGGAAAGCAGCAAUGACCCCUCAGUAAUAGUUGGAAAGUGUGAUAUGACACUGAGCUUCACUGUGUUGGUGAAGAAGAGGUGAGGAAAAUAAAAGCUGCAGUUUGCCUCCACCUCUGAAGAAGCACAAUACACCUUUCUGGGUUACCAAUGGGAUACUUCCCAACAGCUUUGUCAUCACAUACAAUAUUCUCAAACAAGAUCUUAAUGGCAUCUACUUUCUCCAGGAACACAGCCCCUGACCUGUGUGUGUUUGCGUAGAGAAGGCAUGCUAUGUACCCCCUAGGAUAUCAAGAUUCCUGUAGCAGAUUGAGCUCUGGCAGUUGAUCUCAGUGGCUUGAUAGAGUGUCAUUAUAAAAACGCACCUGGAAGAUUCUGUGGAAAAGACAACCUCAGAAGACCAAGAGGCUGACUUUGCAAGAGAGAGUCCGUUUACCACUUAGAACCGUGAACACCACCCCCGCCCUCAUUUAUCUCCAGACUUGAACUAGUGGUUAAAUCCCAACAUGUCCCAGAGAAGUCAAAAGCAUUGUAAAAUCUGGGAAUCUGCCCACCACUCAAGCCUGGGAAAGCUGGCAGAGGAUGCACGUGUUUUACUCACCUGAGUGUUUACAAUGCUCGUGAGGUGCCUCCCUGAUAUUUUUAUAGCAGAAUGGAGAAACACAACCAAGGAGAUACACCUAAGUAACAACAGCAAUGAUGUCAAAAAGAGUGCCUGAAUACUUAGGGUGGAGGUCCUGGACAUGCAAACCCAAGCUUCCUCUUUGCUGUGGCCAGGAAUCUGCAGUGAUUGAGAGCACAGACUGUAUCUAAAAUUCCACCUUUCAAAGUUCAGCAUAUUACUUUUUUUUUUCUUACACCUAUAAGUAAGAAACUUAAGCUCACUAUCCUUCAAUUUCCUCAUCCGUAUAAAGUGCAUAAUAAUUGUCCCUAUCCCAUAGGAAUGGCUUGGAUAUUAAUGAAAUAAUAUAUGCAAAAUAUUUAAGACAGUUUUUGGCAAA
ensembl:lncRNA LINC00616 long intergenic non-protein coding RNA 616